CCUACGGGGGGCAGCAGUGAGGAAUAUUGGUCAAUGGACGAGAGUCUGAACCAGCCAAGUAGCGUGCAGGAUGACUGCCCUACGGGUCGUAAACUGCUUUUAUACGGGAAUAACACGCGCCACGUGUGCCUGUCUGCAUGUACUUUACGAAUAAGGGCCGGCUAAUUCCGUGCCAGCAGCCGCGGUAAUACGGAGGGCCCGAGCGUUAUCCGGAUUCAUUGGGCUUAAAGGGAGCGUAGACGGGUUGUUAAGUCAGUCGUGAAAUUUCGGGGCUCAACCGGAGAACUGCAGUUGAUACUGGCAGUCUUGAGUACAGUUGAGGCAGGCGGAAUUCGUGGUGUAGCGGUGAAAUGCAUAGAUAUCACGAGGAACCCCGAUUGCGAAGGCAGCUUACCAGGCUGUGACUGACAUUGAUGCUCGAAGGUGCGGGUAUCAAACAGGAUUAGAUACCCGAGUAGUC
rnacentral:rRNA from 1 species